UCUGUGGUCACGCAUGUGGCGCACCGCCCGGGGGCGGGCUCCGGAGACGCGGGGGCCAGGUCCGGGGUCUGGCCAGCAGGCUUCUGGCCCGCAGAGGAGAGGGAAGUCAUUUCCAGUCCCCUUGGUCUUGACUGAAAACAAAGUGAGGGUCCCUGAGUUCUCCUAUAAACGAUGUAGUUGACGUCUACCAUUGACCUUAUAUAAAGGAACGCACCAUUGAUAAGUGACGUUGGCUCUCCUGUAAAUGGCAUCACCUUUUCCAUGGCCCGUGGUGAUGGUUCUACUCUCCCAUCCUGCUGAAAGUGAGGUCAGGAGCCCCAUUCAAGAUGGCGGAGGAGUCUCGUGGGAGCCGGGGAGAAGGGCAAGAGAAGAGACACCAGGCAGCAAUGUGGUCUAAACAAAGACCUUCCCAUUCUUCAGGCCCCUCUCCCCUGCCUGGCCCGAAAGUCAGGCAUCCAGCUGGGCGCUGGUACUGCAAGAGAUACAACUGUGACGCUGAACACAUGGUGCUGCCUUCGAGGAGCUCACAGUGUGUCUGGGAGACAAGAUCAUUGGAGCAGCAUAGCACACAUUACAGAAUGCAAUUAACGCUAACCUGUGUGGCAGAGACCAUGAGGACAAACUCGAGGGACAGAUCACCAAUGAGGCUGGAGGUGUUUUCAUGAUGGAGGAGGUGCCUGGGUUGUGAGUAGCCUUGGCCAAAGGGAAAGGGACGCCAUUUCUGGUGAAAGAAUCCACCUGAGUGGGUUCGAGAAUGCAAACAGAGGUGAGGUGGUGUGGGACAGAAAAGACUGGACCAGACGCACCAGGGCAGGGAGCUGUAGAGACUCUUUUGGGUGCAAGAAAUAGAAAAUAAUCUGAUCUAAUUUAAGGAAAAAAGGAAAAUUUAUUUUAAGGCUACAAGGGAGUCUCAUGGGACCUGAGAGAGAGCCCAGCUCACCACAGCUGGGACUUGGACAUAUUAAAAUAAUUUUUGAUGAAUUUU